GUAGUCUCGCACAGAUGCAUAUCAAUAAGCGGAGGAAAAGAAACUAACAAGGAUUCCCCUAGUAACGGCGAGUGAAGCGGGAAGAGCUCAAAUUUGAAAUCUUAAAGGGGUUUCCCUUGACGAAUUGUAGUUUAAAGAAGUGUUUUCUGUUGAGGUUUUGGUAAAAGUUCUUUGGAAUAGGACAUCAUAGAGGGUGAGAAUCCCGUAUUUGACCUUUACUUUCAACUUUGUGAUACACUUUCAAAGAGUCGGAUUGUUUGGGAAUGCAGUCCAAAAUGGGUGGUAAAUUUCAUCUAAAGCUAAAUAUUGGCGAGAGACCGAUAGCGAACAAGUACCGUGAGGGAAAGAUGAAAAGAACUUUGAAAAGAGAGUUAAACAGUACGUGAAAUUGUCAAAAGGGAAGCGUUUGACACCAGUGUUGUUUUUCUGAAAAUCAAUUAAAGAACUGUUUAUGCUAAGCUUGUUUAGACUUUAUCAGCUAACUGUUUAGUUUUGAGCUUUUCUUUAAUGCACUUUUCAGUUAACAAGUCAACAUCAAUUUCUUUUGCUGUAAAAAAGCUUGAGGAAGGUGGCUUGAGAUUCGUCUUAAGUGUUUAUAGCCUCUUGCCUAUGCAGUCGGAGAGAUUGAGGUCUGCAGCGUAGAUCCUUCGGGGCUAAAUGCAUUUGUGCUAAGUUAUAGCAUUUUAUAGACAACUUGUUGACUAUGAUUUGUCUUGUAGCUUACUCGCUUAUGUUAUUUUACCUACGCUUAGGAUGUUGAACUACUGAGACAUAGA
rnacentral:rRNA from 1 species